rnacentral:lncRNA from 10 species
AUGGAUGAUGAACAUAUACCAGAUUUUUCAAGUUUAAAGGAUGAAACUGCUUAUUGGAAGGAAAUGUCCUUGAAGUACAAACAUAGCUUCCAGGAAGCUUGAGAUGAGCUAGUUGAAUUUCAGGAAGGAAGCAGAGAUUUAGAAGCAGACUUGGCAGCACAAUUAGCACAGCCUGAACAAAGAAAUAGAGACUUGCAACUUUAUAGCCAAAGUCUGAAAUAUGAAGUGGAGGCAUUGAAGGAGAAACCAGAACAUCAAUAUGCGCAGAGCUACAAGCAGGUCUCAAUAUCAGAUGAUUUAAGUCAGAUGUGGGCCAUUAAGGUGUGGUUGCUUAAGUAUGUGAGAGAGCUGGAACAGGCCAAUGAUGACCCGUAGCAAGCAAAAAGGGCAACCUGGCCUUCACUGGAAGACUUUGAACAAAGGCUAAAUCAGGCCAUUGAACGGAAUGCAUUUUUAGAAAGUGAACUUCAUGGAAAGGAAUGUUGUCGGUCUCUGUACAGAGGUUAAAAGAUGAAGCAAGAGAUUUAAGGGCAAGAACUAGCAGUUCAGGAAAGCAAGUAACCAGAAAGUUGGCUCCUACUUCUCCAACUCUAGAUGGUGAAAAGAUAGAUUCCACUGUCCAGGGAUCACUCUUUUUGCCAGCCACUCCUAUUGGCAAAGGAAAGGAAAACAGUUUUCCUUCCCGAAAGCUACACUAAGUGGUUUUGGUACCAGUCCACUAACUCCUGCUGGGCUAUCAGCAUUAACGACCAUGGGGGAUCUCUUAGGAAAAUUAGGGACUUUACAAUCCUAAUUAGCAGCUUGCAGAAAUUUUGCAAAGGACCAAACAUGAAAGUCCUAUAUUUCAGGAAAUGUUAACAGUGGGGUGCUGAAUGCCAAUUGCACAAGAGUCUCCCAAUCACACAUUUCCUACAUUGUUCAUAAUGCAGUAAACGGCUUUAAUCCAGCUCCUCCUUCUCCUGGUCUGCACUCCUCAUGCCUGCUGCCAGCACCGGGUAUGCUGCCUUUCAGUGUG